GGUGUUAAAGGAUACCGUCGAUGGAGCUUAGAAAAAGAUGAAGAAAAAUGCUUUAUUAGCUGUGACGUGUUGUUUGAUGAAUCCACUAUUGCAGUGAAAGAGGGGCCACAAACCAAUACGAAAAAACAGGACAAAAUGAUUUGAAUCACAAGAGAGAGAUCUAAUCCAAGAGGGCUCUUUCAGUCAAGAUGGAGCUACCAGCUCAGGAAAUUUGUCCAAUGAUGAAGAAGUUUCACAAGGUAAUUUUGAAAAUUCAACAUAUGAACAACCAUUGACUGAUACACAUCCUGCUGCUACAUCUCAAUUGGUGUAGCCCCAAAUCUUCAAUCCUAUUAAUUAGCUAGAGAUAGGCAGAGAAGAGAGAUCAAACAACCCUCAAGGUAUGCCUUUGCUGAUUUAGUAUUUUAUGCCUUAAAUGCUGAAAUAAAUCAAGCUCAAAAUGAACCUUUAUCAUAUAAUGAAGCCAUUAACUCACCUGAUAAACACAAAUGGAUUCCUGCAAUGAAGGAAGAAAUGGCAUCAUUGUAUAAAAAUGAUACUUGGACUUUAGUUAAUAAACCAUAAAAUUAGAAACUUGUAGGGUGUAAAUGGAUUUAAAAGCUAAAUAAUAAUGUGGAUCCCAAAGAAUCAUUUAAAUAUAAGGAAAGACUUGUGGCCAAAGGAUUUACUCAAACUCAAGAAAUAGAUUAUGAGAAAAUUUUUGCUCCCCUCGUUUGUCAUACUUCAAUAAGAGUUCUAUUGUCUCUAACUGUUGCUUUUGAUAUGGAGUUAUAACAGCUAGAUGUAAAAACUGCAUUCUUGCAUGGAGAUUUAAAUGAAACCAUAUAUAUGCAACAAUCGGUUGGAUUUGUUGAUACCAAAGCUCUAUAUAAGUUGGAGAACAUCCCUUUAGUUUGUUGUUGGCUAUCAACUACUGAAACUGAAGCUAUUAAAGAAGCCAUUUGAUUGAAAGAACUUACAAAUUAACUAGUGGAUGAUAAAAGCAUUGUGAGAGAUUUUUUGUGAUAGUCAAAAUGCUGUCUUUCUAUCCAAAAACUAAGACAUUUCAUGACAGAUCAAAGCACAUUGACAUCAUGUAUCAUUUUCUUAGAGAGAUUUUACUUAAAGGAAAGUUUACUCUUAUGUUGCAGAUGCUUUCACUAAGCUAUUGUCUUUGAAUGAACUUGAGAGUUGUUUAAAAACUCUCAAGGUCUACUCUAUAUAAGCCUUAGUGCUUGAUGUCACUGUAUUGAAGUUAUUUAUGUAGCUUGUUAUUCAUUUACAAUCAAAAGGUGGAGAUUGAUGAUUAUUGAUUCGCAA